rnacentral:rRNA from 1 species
GACGAACGCUGGCGGCGGGCUUAACACAUGCAAGUCGAACGGAAAGGCCCUGCUUUUGUGUGGUGCUCGAGUGGCGAACGGGUGAGUAACACGUGAGUAACCUGCCCUUGACUUUGGGAUAACUUCAGGAAACUGGGGCUAAUACCUGAUAGGAGCUCCUGCUGCAUGGUGGGGGUUGGAAAUUUUCGGCGGUUGGGGAUGGACUCGCGGCUUAUCAGCUUGUUGGUGGGGUAGUGGCUUACCAAGGCUUUGACGGGUAGCCGGCCUGAGAGGGUGACCGGCCACCUUGGGACUGAGAUACGGACCAGACUCCUACGGGAGGCAGCAGUGGGGAAUAUUGCCCAAUGGGCGGAAGCCUGAUGCAGCAACGCCGCGUGCGGGAUGACGGCCUUCGGGUUGUAAACCGCUUUCGCCUGUGACGAAGCGUGAGUGACGGUAAUGGGUAAAGAAGCACCGGCUAACUACGUG